UACAGAGGGUGCGAACGUUGUUCGGAUUUACUGGGCGUAAAGCGCGUGUAGGCGGUCUCGCAAGUCGGAUGUGAAAGCCCAGGGCUCAACCCUGGAAGUGCACUCGAUACUGCGAGGCUAGAGUCCCGGAGAGGAUGGUGGAACUCUCGGUGUGAGCGGUGAAAUGCGUAGAUAUCAGGAGGAACACCUGCGGUGUAGACGGCUUUCUGGACCAUUGCUGACGCUUGAGACACGAAAGCGUGGGUAGCAAACAGG
rnacentral:rRNA from 1 species